ACUUCUAUGGCAGGCAUCCUCAGAGGUUGUGAGGUUGACAACACAAUGAACAUCUCUAUGGGAAUAAAUUGUUCCAAGACACACAGAGAUUGGCGAACAGACCUCACAACUUCUGAGGAUGCCUGCCAUAGAUGUGGGCAAAACGUCAGGAGAGAAUGCUUCUGGAACAUGGCCAUACAGCCCAGAAAACUCACAGCAACCCAUGAAAGCUUUUGACAACACAUUAUUAUUAUUAUUAUUAUUAUUAUUAUUAUUAUUAUUAUUAUUAUUGGCACAACGACAUAGUCUGACACAGCAAACAAGAUAGAUAUGCUGGGUUUCGUAUCAUUAUUAUUAUUAUUAUUAUUAUUAUUAUUAUUAUUUGAAACACAACAAGAUUUUUUUUUUCGUGUCAGGAGCUUCUGGAGUGAGAGAGUUGACCGUCUGCAAGGACGUUGCCCAGGGGACGCCCGGAUGUUUUUUGAUGUUUUUACCAUCCUUGUGGGAGGCUUCUCUCAUGUCCCCGCAUGGAGCUGGAGCUGAUAGAGGGAGCUCAUCCACACUCUCCCCAGGUGGGAUUCGAACCUGGCAGCUUUCAGAUUUGUGAUGAAGGAAGAACCGAAGAGGAGGACGAAGAAAAGGAGGGCACCAUGUCAUGGAACCCAGUUACAGGGCUUUGGUAAUUCAGCCCUGCAACUGGGAGUCAUAACAUAAACAAUCCCAGAAGCACCUGGCAGAAGAAGAUAGAAUACGCCUGGGAACUUGGGACCGAAAGUAUAAACAAUUAUAAUUGGUCUAGUGUGUGAAAAUGGUAGUAAUGUGAUAUUGGAGGUGGAACUUGAUGAUGAUAUUUACGUGUGGUGUUACGUAGCAUCAAAAGUUAUAAAAAUAGUUGUAUGUAAACAUUGAGUCAUUCUUGACUUUUCCAAAGUCAUGUGUUCUUCAAUAAAGAUUGGAUUUGAGAGCAGUUAUCUCUAA